rnacentral:tRNA from 1 species
GCUGGAGUGGUGAAACUGGCAGACACGCUAUCUUGAGGGGGUAGUGCCCGUCAGGGCGUGCGGGUUCGAGUCCCGCCUCCAGCA